rnacentral:rRNA from 1 species
UACGUAGGGGGCAAGCGUUGUCCGGAAUUAUUGGGCGUAAAGCGCGCGCAGGCGGUGCGUUAAGUCGGAUGUGAAAGGCAACGGCUCAACCGUUGAACUGCAUCCGAAACUGGCGGACUUGAGUGCAGGAGAGGGGAGAGGAAUUCCCGGUGUAGCGGUGGAAUGCGUAGAGAUCGGGAGGAACACCAGUGGCGAAGGCGACUCUCUGGCCUGUAACUGACGCUGAGGCGCGAAAGCGUGGGGAGCAAACAGG